UGAAAUGUUCGUAGGUUUGGAAAAGGUC
rnacentral:sRNA from 1 species